rnacentral:rRNA from 1 species
UACGUAGGGCGCAAGCGUUGUCCGGAAUUAUUGGGCGUAAAGAGCUCGUAGGCGGUUUGUCGCGUCUGCUGUGAAAACCUAAGGCUCAACCUUGGGCUUGCAGUGGGUACGGGCAGACUAGAGUGCGGUAGGGGUGACUGGAAUUCCUGGUGUAGCGGUGGAAUGCGCAGAUAUCAGGAGGAACACCGAUGGCGAAGGCAGCUCACUGGGACGGUACUGACGCUGGAGAACGCGAAAAGCGUGGGGAGCAAACAGG